GGGCUCUGUGCUUCAAACAGUCCCCACUGGGACAAUCUCUGACAACUUGGCCUCAAAUCGAGUAGGACUACCCGCUGAACUUAAGCAUAUCAAUAAGCGGAGGAAAAGAAACUAACAAGGAUUCCCCUAGUAACGGCGAGUGAAGAGGGAAGAGCUCAAAUUUUGAAUCUGGCACCUUUGGUGUCCGAGUUGUAAUCUAGAGAAGUGCUUUCUGUGGCGGACCGUGCACAAGUCUCCUGGAAUGGAGCGUCAUAGAGGGUGAGAAUCCCGUAUAUGGCACGGACUCCCGUUGCUCUGUGAAACACUCUCCACGAGUCGAGUUGUUUGGGAAUGCAGCUCCAAAUGGGUGGUAAAUGCCAUCUAAAGCUAAAUAUUGGCGAGAGACCGAUAGCGAACAAGUACCGUGAGGGAAAGAUGAAAAGCACUUUGGAAAGAGAGUGAAACAGUACGUGAAAUUGUUGAAAGGGAAACACUUGAAGUCAGUCAUGCCCUUUGGGAUUCGGCCUUGCUUCUGCUUGGUUUACUUCCUGUUGGGUGGGUCAACAUCAGUUUCGGCCAGAGGAGAAAGGCUUGGGGAAGGUGGCAACAAUGUGCUGUGUUAUUGCCCCUUGUUGUAUCCUUUGGCUGGGCCUGAGGACCGCAGCGUGCCUUCACGGCCGGGGUUUGCCCACGU
rnacentral:rRNA from 1 species